AUUGGGCUUUUUGACGAAGUAAUGCUCUAUGCUACGAAAUCGUAUGUUGGCUGAUCCUUCCUUUCUUUUUAAAGUUGGGACAGAGAUAGUCAUAGAUUCUUGUUGUGCAACAUUUGCAGAAGUUCAGAAAAGGGGAAAGGAUUUCUGGGCUGAGUUUGAGUUGUACGCUGCUUAUCUUUUGGUUGGAAUAGCUGUUGAC